rnacentral:rRNA from 1 species
UCCUACGGGGCGCAGCAGUGAGGAAUAUUGGUCAAUGGGCGGGAGCCUGAACCAGCCAAGUCGCGUGAGGGAAGACGGUCCUAUGGAUUGUAAACCUCUUUAGGCGGGGAGCAAUGCCGGGCACGCGUGCCCGGAGGGAGAGUACCCGCAGAAUAAGCAUCGGCUAACUCCGUGCCAGCAGCCGCGGUAAUACGGAGGAUGCGAGCGUUAUCCGGAUUUAUUGGGUUUAAAGGGUGCGUAGGCGGAUUUUUAAGUCAGCGGUAAAAUGUCCGGGCUCAACCCUGGCCGGCCGUUGAAACUGGGGG